UACGUAGGGUGCAAGCGUUGUCCGGAAUUACUGGGCGUAAAGCGCGCGCAGGCGGUCUUCCAAGUCAGUGGUGAAAGCCCGGAGCUCAACUCCGGAACUGCCAUUGAAACUGUAAGACUUGAGGACGAGAGAGGUGAGUGGAAUUCCCAGUGUAGAGGUGAAAUUCGUAGAUAUUGGGAAGAACACCGGUGGCGAAGGCGGCUCACUGGCUCGUAUCUGACGCUCAGGCGCGACAGCGUGGGGAUCAAACAGG
rnacentral:rRNA from 1 species